rfam:Aedes albopictus isolate Foshan contig305109, whole genome shotgun sequence.
UGCCCAGCAACUCCUAUCCCUACCUCCACGCGGUACCGGCCGGAAACUAUGAGCAACCUUAGGGAAGAUCGGGUAAUCAACCCCGGUGGGACCUUUGGUCGUAGGCUGACAGGGAAGG